AGCUCCAAUAGCGUAUAUUAAAGUUGUUGCAGUUAAAAAGCUCGUAGUUGGAUCUCAGGUGCAGGCUAGCGGUCCACCUCGCGGUGGUUACUGCUUGUCCUGACCUACCAUUCGGUUUUCCCUUGGUGCUCUUGACUGAGUGUCUCGGGUGGCCGAAACGUUUACUUUGAAAAAAUUAGAGUGUUCAAAGCAGGCAAUUCGCCUGAAUAAUGGUGCAUGGAAUAAUGGAAUAGGACCUCGGUUCUAUUUUGUUGGUUUUCGGAACUUGAGUUAAUGAUUAAGAGGGACAGUCGGGGGCAUUCGUAUUACGGUGUUAGAGGUGAAAUUCUUGGAUCGCCGUAAGACGAACUACUGCGAAAGCAUUUGCCAAGCAUGUUUUCA
rnacentral:rRNA from 1 species